GCGAGCGUAGCUCAGGGGUUAGAGCACUAGAUUGUGGAUCUAGGGGUCGCGGGUUCGAAUCCCGUCGCUCGCCCCA
rnacentral:tRNA from 1 species